CCCCGACCCCCACCUUCUCCUUCUCUCGACACCUCCCACUGUCGGCGGCGCCUCACCAAGUCACCAUCACCACCACCCCCGCGCCACAGCACCACCCCACCCCCGGCGCCCCACAACUACCCCACCCCUCUUUCUCCUGGCCGGCGCCGCCGUGCAUCCUCUUCCUCCUGGUUGGGGCCGUCGCCCCUCCUCUUCCUCACGACCGAGGCCGCUGUGGUCCCUCUUCCUCCCGGAAUCGCCAUCGCCCCCUGGUUCCCCUUCUUCCACCUUUCUUCGCCGCCCACGGGCGGCCCACCGCGCCUCUCCUAGUCGCCGCAUCCCUCACCAAUUCCUGGUCGGCAUCGCCCAGAUCCGGUGGAGCACGCACCCGGUCAGCCACCGGGCUUUGGUGGCCAGGGGUGACCGCUGUCGGAGGAGGAGGUUGGGGGAGGUGGUGAGCCUGUCGCGGCGCCAGGGUCGCAGGUUUUGAAGAUGGCCGGAGAUCGCCGUCCGCCUCAGCCCCUCGUGCAGGUCUCUCCUUCCCAUCGUGCAGGUCGCGGCCGCAACCCAUGCCUCUGGCGCUGGUCGGGGUAGCGCUCCAACUCGCUGCCGCCUGGAUCCGGCGAGGCCCGAGGCAUCCGCAGCCACCUGGACUCCCGGCGACGGGUCCGAUCCGGAAACCGCCCUGGCGUGCUCCCCGGCAACGGAUCCGGGUCGGCAACCACCCCCCUGCGUGGCCACGACCAACCUCCGCCGCAGGAUCCGUCCGUCGACAGGACCCCCAACGCAAGCCACUCCCCUGACGCCCCGAUCCAAGCGCCGCCGAGCCUCCCAGGUGACAUCUGGCCGCAUCCUCCCCCACGAGCCUCCUCCUAAUCCCGCGCUGUUCACCCAGAUGGAGCUGCCUCGAUGCGUCGAGCAUGCCUCUCCCCCUCGCUCAACCUCAACGAGGGGCUCCUCCCAAGGCCCCAGUGCCCCGGUGCAACCUAUCUAGGCCAUUACGCCACCACCGUGGCCUACACCAGCCAUGGCCACUGCGACUUGCUGCCUCUGCCGCCGCAUCCCGCACUGGAUCCGCGAGAACAAAGGUCUUCACCGCCCCGACCGCAUCGAAUCAGCAAACUGCACACCCGAAUCCGCUCUGGAUUGAUUGCGCGCGUGCUCCCACGUUCCUCUGCUCACCUUGCAGUUCGCGGUACGUUCCUGUGUAGUUUGCCCGUCGCCCUGGUCCUCUCAGCUCCUGCACUGCCUGCUGUCGAUCGUGGCGUCUCCCCUCCUGCUCCGCUGUGCAGUUUUCCGCGUGGGGCAUUGCAGUGCGUGCGUGUCGUGGGUUCCUGAUUACCUUUUUGUGUGUUUUCAGAUUUUUGUUGUUGAUUUUAGUGAAAUCAGUGCAGUAAAAUCUCUAAUGCAGUUUAAUAAACUCUCUAUGCAGUUCGUCGGACGUUUUUGUGUGGCUCGCACUGCAGUUCAUUCUUUGUUUUUCCUAAUGCAAAUCCAUGCCGAAGGGUUCGCGGAUCACUUCAGUAAAAAAACGUUCUCGGAGUUCAGCGGAUGACAUGUUGCCUUGCUGGUCAUUAUGUGAGAAGAAAAACAAAACAACGAAUGUGGUCCACGUCCUCAAAUUGUAAUUUGGUUGGCUGGUGGUGCUGACAUUUUUAUCUGACUAGUGCUAAUUUUCUGUGUAUGUAUGUGUGUGGCUGUGUAAAACAACAGAUGGAUGUAUUGUGUCCAUGAGCAUCGUCAGCGGCCAUAGACAGUGGGGCAAAAACAUAAAGUGUGCGUGCAGCUUGGUUAGCUCGGCCAUGGAGUACUUUAUUUUUGUUAUGUGUGGUUCACUUGUUUGCUAAAAAAUACAAAAGAAUAUUGGUGGGAGCUAAUAUUCUUUGGAUGCAAUGUAAUUUUAGAUGCAGUCCGGUUGCCUCAUCUAUAUAUCUCACUAACAUUAACCAUGUAGUUUAGAUGAAUUUAUGUGCAGCUCACUGUACAUAAUUGUGCAGCUCGCUAAACCCUGUUCGAAACUUUGAAAAAAGUGAAGUCCCUGAGUGGUUCACUUUGUAAAAGAAAGAGAGAAAUCUCCACGGGAGGUUCACUUCUUUCUCUAAUGCAAUUUGUUUUGUUUUUGAAAAAGAAAUUCACUCCAAUUGUGUGUAGUAGCUCGUUACCCCUAUGUAUAAAG
rnacentral:rRNA from 1 species